AAGCUCUUACCAGCCCUCGGCUCGCAGUGAGGUUCUGCAGAGCUCCAGCACAAGCUUCCAGGGUGGCAUCCUUCUUGCUCUGAUCCAUCAGGGACAGGCAAGUGCUGUUCACACACAGCCAUCAGUCACAGUCAGGGGACUGAAGAGAGAUGCCAACUCCUGGCUUCCUGCUGAACAUGGUGCCAAGCUGGGGGUUAUACCCUUGAGUCCUGCUGGAUGGCAAGAUGUGGGAGAGCUCAGGUUCCUGAGGGAGCCAUCGAGGAGCACGGCAGGGGACAAAGAGGAGAGAGGGACUCGUUUCACCUGGAACAUGUCCUUCAAGGAGCUCUGCAUAGAAGACACCCUCCUAGGGACAGUCACCAGCAGAAGGUUGCCUCAGAGGCUCUGCAUGUGCCACUACACAGACACUAUCUCCUGAGUGGAGUUUCCAAAGGGAAGACUGGCUAAAGACUAUCUGGGCUUGUUGUGAUCAUCAGGAAGGUGAACAGGGUUGUAAGCACAGACCUACCCAGGGUCAGCAGCAAUGUCUGUGUGGGAAAUGGGCUGGAAAUGCUGGAGAGCAGCAAUGGUCAAAAUGGGUUCCUGGACACUGGCAGCUGUCAGGAGAAGGGAGUUUUUCCAGUAACAGGAUAUGGGUUUUGUUGUUUUGCUAUGUUUUUU